ACUCCUACGGGAGGCAGCAGUGGGGAAUAUUGCACAAUGGGCGCAAGCCUGAUGCAGCCAUGCCGCGUGUAUGAAGAAGGCCUCGGUUGUAAAGUACUUUCUAGCAGUGAGGAAGGUGGAUAUGUUAAUAAGCAUAUUCAUUUGACGUUAGCUGCAGAAGAAGCACCGGCUAACUCCGUGCCAGCAGCCGCGGUAAUACGGAGGGUGCGAGCGUUAAUCGGAAUUACUGGGCGUUAAAGCGCAUGCAGGUGGUUUGUUAAGUUCAGAUGUGAAAGCCCGGGGCUCAACCUCGGAAUUGCAUUUGAAACUGGCAAACUAGAGUACUGUAGAGGGGGUAGAAUUUCAGGUGUAGCGGUGAAAUGCGUAGAGAUCUG
rnacentral:rRNA from 1 species